AUAGUAGACGAAAUUGGUCGCCCCCAAUAAUAGUUAUUAUAUUCUCUUAGAGAAUAUAUAACGUUAAUGGUUCGUCGUGUACGAUCCUUUUCGAGUUCUGCAGAAAAUUACGUAAGUAAGAGUUUGGAGCAUUUUUAAAAUGGGCCAACAUUUUAUUAGUAUU
ncrna:unclassified sequences OTKONC RNA